AGAGUGAACGCUGGCGGUAGGCCUAACACAUGCAAGUCGAACGGCAGCACGGUAAGAGCUUGCUCUUAUGGGUGGCGAGUGGCGGGACGGGUGAGGAAUACAUCGGAAUCUACCUUUUGGUGGGGGAUAACGUAGGGAAACUUACGCUAAUACCGCAUACGCCCUUCGGGGGAAAGCCGGGGACCAGCAAUGGCCUGGUGCUGAUAGAUGAGCCGAGUGUCGGAUUAGCUAGUU
rnacentral:rRNA from 1 species